CUUUAUUGUAAAAAUGGAGUCAUGAAUGCCAUGCAUGUCAUGAAAAGCUAGUGUCAAGAUCACUGCAGCCAGCUCCCAGUUCUGAUGCACUCAUCAGUAACGCUUGUCCAAGCCAUGAUGAAUCUGAAGUUGAUCAAAAGGGAGUGCCAGCAAGAAUCAGCUGAUGCAAUUCCAGCAAGCUUUCAGUCACAGCAUCAAGGAAGGAUAAAGAUUCAGUCUAGGAACAGAGAGACAGCCGUCCCUUCUGUCACUACGAAGCCACUCUGGGGAAUGGAAGCAGCUGCAGCUGUGGAAGGAGGGUGACUACAUCAGGAGUGGCUGCACAUUCAGACACGUGGAAAAUGAUGCAGAUGGCAGUUCUGCAUUUCAUCAAGGAGCUGCUCAGCACUGAUGCUCAGAGCUGUUCAGCAUGGGAUGUGGCAGGGCACAUCUUCAGCGAGUUCAGCCGGCUCUCUGACAGACUGGUGGUGGAAGGCUUUUUUGCUUUUGAAAUUGAGGAGGAAGGAGCUCUUCGAGCCCUGUGCAUGGACAUCCUGGGCCCACUGGAUGUCUCUGUGAGAGGGAUGACCAAAGUUAGUUGUCCUCCACCCUGCUGCUGCUGUUUCUUGCCUUCAGACAUUUUUCUUUGUCCUUACCCACGCCACAGACAUCUCCCUGCCUAUGCUUUGAAGGGCACACGGCUCAGGAAAAUGCAGGCUGUCCUUUCUGACUAAGCUGAGCAAUGGAAGGGAUGCUGGCAGGGAGAAUUUCCUCAUUCUUCUCUGUAGCUCUCGUGGCCAAGGCUGCUGCAGUACAUGGUGCCCGCUGAGUACAGUGGCAUGCUUAUUCCCCUCUCCCACUGCCUCUGAAGUCUGGCUGAGAGAUGAGAGAGAGGAGGACAACAAGAAUAAGAGGACUCCAAUGUCACCAGCUCUGAG
ensembl:lncRNA